rnacentral:rRNA from 1 species
GAUGAACGCUGGCGGCGUGCCUAAUACAUGCAAGUCGAGCGAACGGACGAGAAGCUUGCUUCUCUGAUGUUAGCGGCGGACGGGUGAGUAACACGUGGAUAACCUACCUAUAAGACUGGGAUAACUUCGGGAAACCGGAGCUAAUACCGGAUGAUAUUUUGAACCGCAUGGUUCAAAAGUGAAAGACGGUCUUGCUGUCACUUAUAGAUGGAUCCGCGCUGCAUUAGCUAGUUGGUAAGGUAACGGCUUACCAAGGCAACGAUGCAUAGCCGACCUGAGAGGGUGAUCGGCCACACUGGAACUGAGACACGGUCCAGACUCCUACGGGAGGCAGCAGUAGGGAAUCUUCCGCAAUGGGCGAAAGCCUGACGGAGCAACGCCGCGUGAGUGAUGAAGGUCUUCGGAUCGUAAAACUCUGUUAUUAGGGAAGAACAUAUGUGUAAGUAACUGUGCACAUCUUGACGGUACCUAAUCAGAAAGCCACGACUAACUACGUG